CCCACGUGAGGCAGCAGUGGGGGAUAUUGCACAAUGGGGGGAACCCUGAUGCAGCGACGCCGCGUGGGUGAAGAAGUAUUUCGGUAUGUAAAGCUCUAUCAGCAGGGAAGAAAGAAAUGACGGUACCUGACGAAGAAGCCCCGGCUAACUACGUGCCAGCAGCCGCGGUAAUACGUAGGGGGCAAGCGUUAUCCGGAUUUACUGGGUGUAAAGGGAGCGUGGACGGCGAUGCAAGUCUGAAGUGAAAGGCGGGGGCCCAACCCCCGGACUGCUUUGGAAACUGUAUGGCUGGAGUGCAGGAGAGGUAAGUGGAAUUCCUAGUGUAGCGGUGAAAUGCGUAGAUAUUAGGAGGAACACCAGUGGCGAAGGCGGCUUACUGGACUGUAACUGACGUUGAGGCUCGAAAGCGUGGGGAGCAAACAGGAUUAGAUACCCGAGUAGUC
rnacentral:rRNA from 1 species